UGGGGAGUACGCACGCAAGUGUGAAACUCAAAGGAAUUGACGGGGGCCCGCACAAGCGGUGGAACAUGUGGUUUAAUUCGGAGCAACGCGAAGAACCUUACCAGGGCUUGACAUCUACAGAAUCUUGCGGAAACGUGAGAGUGCCUUUCGGGGAACUGUAAGACAGGUGGUGCACGGUUGUCGUCAGCUCGUGUCGUGAGAUGUUGGGUUAAGUCCCGCAACGAGCGCAACCCUUGUUGUUAGUUGCUGGCAAGAGCAUGCUCUUGUCGAGCUCUCUAGCGAAACUGCCGGUGAUAAACCGGAGGAAGGUGGGGACGACGUCAAAUCAUCAUGCCCCUUAUGCUCUGGGCUACACACGUGUUACAAUGGGUGGGACAGCGAGCAGCAAGCCGGCGACGGCAAGCAAAUCUCUUAAACCCAUCCUCAGUUCGGAUCGAAGUCUGCAACUCGACUUCGUGAAGUCGGAAUCGCUAGUAACCGCAGAUCAGCAUGCUGCGGUGAAUACGUUCCCGGGCCUUGUACACACCGCCCGUCACACCAUGGAAGCUGACCACGCCCGAAGCCGGUAAGUUAACCCUCGGGAAUCAGCCGUCUAAGGCA
rnacentral:rRNA from 1 species